rnacentral:rRNA from 1 species
CACGGGUGAGUAACACGUAUCCAACCUGCCGUCUACUCUUGGACAGCCUUCUGAAAGGAAGAUUAAUACAAGAUGGCAUCAUGAGUUCACAUGUUCACAUGAUUAAAGGUAUUCCGGUAGACGAUGGGGAUGCGUUCCAUUAGAUAGUAGGCGGGGUAACGGCCCACCUAGUCAACGAUGGAUAGGGGUUCUGAGAGGAAGGUCCCCCACAUUGGAACUGAGACACGGUCCAA